GAUGAACGCUGGCGGCGUGCCUAAUACAUGCAAGUCGAGCGACAGGACGGUAAGCUUGCUCUCUUGCUGUUAGCGGCGGACGGGUGAGUAACACGUAGAUCACAUUCUUCUAUGUCUGGGAUAACUUCGGGAAAACGCAGAUAAUAACGGCUAAUAUUAUGAACCGCAUGGUUCAAAAGUGCAUGAGGGUUUUGCCGUCACUAUUAGAUGGUUCCGCGCUGCAUUAGCGAGUUGGUAAGGUAACAGCUAACCAAGGCAGCGUUGCAUAGCCGACAUGAGAGGGUGAUCGGCCACACUGGAACUGAGACACGGUCCAGACUCCUACGGGAGGCAGCAGUGGGGAAUCUUGCACAAUGGGCGAAAGCCUGACGGAGCAACACCGCGUGAGUGAUGAAGGUCUUCGGAUUGUAAAGCUCUGUUAUUAGGAAAGAACAUAAGUAUAAUUAUCUGUGGACAUCUUGACGGUACCUAAUCAAUAAGCCACGGCUAACUACGUG
rnacentral:rRNA from 1 species